AGCUCCAAUAGCGUAUAUUAAAGAUGUUGAGGUGAAAAAGCGAGAAGAGGGAUUAAGGAGGGGAGGGGGUGGGUUGAAAUGCUUCCCCCCUUCCUUUUUUCACCUGGUGUUUUGCCAGAAUCUUACGGGUGAUCUUUACCGAUUGUCCGUUGGAACUGGCAGGUUUACUUUGAAAAAAUUAGAGUGCUCAAAGCAAGCUUACUGCUUGAAUAGUUGCGCAUGGAAUAAUAGAAUAGGAAGUCGUUUCUAUUUUGUUGGUUUUCGGAAAUCGACUUAAUGAUUAAUAGGGAUAGUCGGGGGCAUUCGUAUUCAAACGACAGAGGUGAAAUUCUUGGACCGUUUGAAGACGAACUAAGGCGAAAGCAUUUGCCAAGAAUGUUUUCA
rnacentral:rRNA from 1 species